rnacentral:lncRNA from 1 species
AAAACUUUCAGUUUUAAUUCCCCAAAACAUGUUUUGGGCAACUGUGCUAAUGCAUUUUGACCCAUAUAGAAAAUUACUCAGCAGGUUAUAAGCCAUGAAUUUCUGUUAAUGAUGUUUGGUUGAUUUUGUAGGUGAAAAGGGUUCUAAGUAGGUGCAACUCUUGAUUGUUAAAGAAUAAAGAGUCCAAUGAGAAUGGGGAUAAGAGACAAGUCUAGGGGAUGCCGGCACCAAGAACAACGACAUGACCAUCAUAAGCCGACAUAGUUCCCUAAACUCACACAGUCAAUUGAGGGGUUUUUAAAAGAAGAAGAGAGAUAUUGACACUUCCCUACAUUCACACACUUAGUUGGGAGUUUUUCAUGAAGAGAGACUUUGACACUCAAAAAUUUUGUCACAGUGGCAUUAUUGAAACUCUCCCUGCCUACUCUGAAGAUAACAAUGGACAUUAGGGCUUGAUCAAAUACAACUCUAAACUUGGUUGCAUGCCAAUCACAGCACCCAUCAUUUGAGGUUUGAAGAGAUGGAAAGGCGUAAACUAGGAAAGAUUUCCAUUGAAGACCUGCCAAGUGUCUUGAAGCUGAGAAAUGAACUUUGCCUAGCGCGUACGAACACACACACCGGAUGUGUAUACAACUAAUGUUUUUGUUUGGAAUGCAAAGGAAAA